GGUUAAGCGACUAAGCGUACACGGUGGAUGCCCCGGCAGUCAGAGGCGAUGAAGGACGUGCUAAUCUGCGAAAAGCGUCGGUAAGGUGAUAUGAACCGUUAUAACCGGCGAUGUCCGAAUGGGGAAACCCAGUGCAAUUCGUUGCACUAUCGUUAACUGAAUACAUAGGUUAACGAGGCGAACCGGGGGAACUGAAACAUCUAAGUACCCCGAGGAAAAGAAAUCAACCGAGAUUCCCCCAGUAGCGGCGAGCGAACGGGGAGCAGCCCAGAGUCUGAAUCAGCUUGUGUGUUAGUGGAACGGUCUGGAAAGUCCGACGGUACAGGGUGAUAGUCCCGUACACCAAAAUGCACAGGCUGUGAACUCGAAGAGUAGGGCGGGACACGUGGUAUCCUGUCUGAAUAUGGGGGACCAUCCUCCAAGGCUAAAUACUCCUGACUGACCGAUAGUGAACCAGUACCGUGAGGGAAAGGCGAAAAGAACCCCGGCGAGGGGAGUGAAAAAGAACCUGAAACCGUGUACGUACAAGCAGUGGGAGCACCUUCGGGUGUGACUGCGUACCUUUGUAUAAUGGGUCAGCGACUUAUAUUCUGUAGCAAGGUUAACCGUAUAGGGGAGCCGCAGGGAAACCGAGUCUUAACUGGGCGUUAAGUUGCAGGGUAUAGACCCGAAACCCGGUGAUCUAGCCAUGGGCAGGUUGAAGGUUGGGUAACACUAACUGGAGGACCGAACCGACUAAUGUUGAAAAAUUAGCGGAUGACUUGUGGCUGGGGGUGAAAGGCCAAUCAAACCGGGAGAUAGCUGGUUCUCCCCGAAAGCUAUUUAGGUAGCGCCUCGUGAAUUCAUCUUCGGGGGUAGAGCACUGUUUCGGCUAGGGGGUCAUCCCGACUUACCAACCCGAUGCAAACUACGAAUACCGAAGAAUGUUAUCACGGGAGACACACGGCGGGUGCUAACGUCCGUCGUGAAGAGGGAAACAACCCAGACCGCCAGCUAAGGUCCCAAAGUCAUGGUUAAGUGGGAAACGAUGUGGGAAGGCACAGACAGCCAGGAUGUUGGCUUAGAAGCAGCCAUCAUUUAAAGAAAGCGUAAUAGCUCACUGGUCGAGUCGGCCUGCGCGGAAGAUGUAACGGGGCUAAACCAUGCACCGAAGCUGCGGCAGCGACACUAUGUGUUGUUGGGUAGGGGAGCGUUCUGUAAGCCUGCGAAGGUGUGCUGUGAGGCAUGCUGGAGGUAUCAGAAGUGCGAAUGCUGACAUAAGUAACGAUAAAGCGGGUGAAAAGCCCGCUCGCCGGAAGACCAAGGGUUCCUGUCCAACGUUAAUCGGGGCAGGGUGAGUCGACCCCUAAGGCGAGGCCGAAAGGCGUAGUCGAUGGGAAACAGGUUAAUAUUCCUGUACUUGGUGUUACUGCGAAGGGGGGACGGAGAAGGCUAUGUUAGCCGGGCGACGGUUGUCCCGGUUUAAGCAUGUAGGCUGGUUGUCCAGGCAAAUCCGGAUAAUCAAGGCUGAGGUGUGAUGACGAGGCACUACGGUGCUGAAGUAACAAAUGCCCUGCUUCCGGGAAAGCCUCUAAGCAUCAGGUAACAUCAAAUCGUACCCCAAACCGACACAGGUGGUCAGGUAGAGAAUACCAAGGCGCUUGAGAGAACUCGGGUGAAGGAACUAGGCAAAAUGGUGCCGUAACUUCGGGAGAAGGCACGCUGGUGUGUAGGUGAAGUCCCUGCGGAUGGAGCUGAGACCAGUCGAAGAUACCAGCUGGCUGCAACUGUUUAUUAAAAACACAGCACUGUGCAAACACGAAAGUGGACGUAUACGGUGUGACGCCUGCCCGGUGCCGGAAGGUUAAUUGAUGGGGUUAUCCGUAAGGAGAAGCUCUUGAUCGAAGCCCCGGUAAACGGCGGCCGUAACUAUAACGGUCCUAAGGUAGCGAAAUUCCUUGUCGGGUAAGUUCCGACCUGCACGAAUGGCGUAAUGAUGGCCGGGCUGUCUCCACCCGAGACUCAGUGAAAUUGAACUCGCUGUGAAGAUGCAGUGUACCCGCGGCAAGACGGAAAGACCCCGUGAACCUUUACUAUAGCUUGACACUGAACAUUGAGCCUUGAUGUGUAGGAUAGGUGGGAGGCUUUGAAGCGUGGACGCCAGUCUGCGUGGAGCCAACCUUGAAAUACCACCCUUUAAUGUUUGAUGUUCUAACGUUGGCCCCUUACCGGGGUUGCGGACAGUGUCUGGUGGGUAGUUUGACUGGGGCGGUCUCCUCCCAAAGCGUAACGGAGGAGCACGAAGGUUAGCUAAUCCUGGUCGGACAUCAGGAGGUUAGUGCAAUGGCAUAAGCUAGCUUGACUGCGAGCGUGACGGCGCGAGCAGGUGCGAAAGCAGGUCAUAGUGAUCCGGUGGUUCUGAAUGGAAGGGCCAUCGCUCAACGGAUAAAAGGUACUCCGGGGAUAACAGGCUGAUACCGCCCAAGAGUUCAUAUCGACGGCGGUGUUUGGCACCUCGAUGUCGGCUCAUCACAUCCUGGGGCUGAAGUAGGUCCCAAGGGUAUGGCUGUUCGCCAUUUAAAGUGGUACGCGAGCUGGGUUUAGAACGUCGUGAGACAGUUCGGUCCCUAUCUGCCGUGGGCGCUGGAGAAUUGAGGGGGGCUGCUCCUAGUACGAGAGGACCGGAGUGGACGCAUCACUGGUGUUCGGGUUGUCAUGCCAAUGGCACUGCCCGGUAGCUAAAUGCGGAAGAGAUAAGUGCUGAAAGCAUCUAAGCACGAAACUUGCCCCGAGAUGAGUUCUCCCUGAGACUUUAAGUCUCCUGAAGGAACGUUGAAGACGACGACGUUGAUAGGCCGGGUGUGUAAGCGCAGCGAUGCGUUGAGCUAACCGGUACUAAUGAACCGUGAGGCUUAACCUU
rnacentral:rRNA from 1 species